UUCAAUCCUAGGGUUCCACCAAGAGAGAGAGAAUUUCUAAAAAAACAAGAGAGAGAGAAGGGAAAAGGAUCGGGUGUCAGUUAUGCACCGCUGCCUGCCGUGCGCCGACCUCCACUCUCUCGCCGUCGCAACCGCCGUCGGAUGCCUCGAAUGAGGAUCCAUUGGUGCUUGAGCAGAGGCGACCAAAUAAGCAGCUCCCCCUUUGCCCUUUGGAGCUGCACUCCCCAAUCGAAGCAGCUCUUUUGGGAGCGGCUCCAAUCCGAGCUGCAACCGGCAAUCCUUUCCGGAUUAGAAUCAGAAGCAGGCCCAAUUUCGAAUUCAGUCUCCGGUUUUCCAUUGGUGGCGGGAACCUAGCAGCUACUACUACUUAUUACUCUCUCUGUCUCAAAAUAACUGUCUCAACUGAGGGAGUAUAUAUUUAUCCGGCCAGUCUUAAGAGGAGACGAGCAGCUCUCUUCCCAGGCGACCGGCUGCCAGAUCGAGCGGCCUCGGCAAAUCCUCCUACUCUCAACAACAUGCUGGUGAGUUCGUCCCCCUCAUCCUUUUUCCCUCCUUGUACAAUCCUCUUAUCUUAUUACAACAUCACCGCAGAAAAGUAAUCAAGGAAUAAUAGAAACUUAGGAACCAUAAUCAGAAUUCGUGGCCAUAAUCAGAGUUGGUGGCGAAAUCAAAGUUGCGGCAGUCUCUUGGAA
rnacentral:lncRNA from 1 species